CUGUUCCGGCCGCGGUAUCCUGACCGUGCAAAGGUAGCGUAAUCACUUGUUCUUUAAAUAAGGACUAGUAUGAAUGGCACCACGAGGGUUUCACUGUCUCCCCCCCCCAAUCAAUGAAACUAAUCUCCCCGUGAAGAAGCGGGGAUAACAAUAUAAGACGAGAAGACCCCAUGGAGCUUUAAACAAUAUAGCACAUGUUAACAAAAACCCCCCCCCAUAGUUCAACAUUACUGACUAUUAGUUUUCGGUUGGGGUGACCGCGGAAAAAAACACAACUUCCAUGAUGAACGGAGCUUACUCCUUAACUAGAAGCCACCGCUUUAAGUAUCAGCAACCUGACAUCCAUUGACCCAAUAUAAUUGACCAACGAACCAAGUUACCCUGGGGAUAACAGCGCAAUCCACUUCAAGAGCCCCUAUCGACAAGUGGGUUUACGACCUCNAUGUUGGAUCAGGGUGCCCAAGUGGNGCAGCCGCUACUAAUGGUUCGUUUGUUCAACGAUUA
rnacentral:rRNA from 1 species